CAACAUAGGCAAGUUACCCUUCCCGGGCCUUUUCCUUCACUGUUCGGCGUCCUAUUUCAACUCAUAACUCUAAAGUGACUUGUGUUCGUCCUCUGAAAUGAUAAUUAAAGGCAUUACAGAUACCUCCCUUACAGUCUGUCUAAUUUUUGAAGUAAAAUAAUAUUGAUAACUAUGGAAUACAAAAGAAGCAAUACCAGAAUUAACUAUUACCAACUAUUCUAUACAUUAUUAUGGAGGGCAUGCAACAUAAAUGGCUCCGAUGACAGAUUUGGUGACUGAUUUAUAAUCAAUUCAAAGUUUUUGCGAAGACCUUCGUUUUGUACCUUUUUCUUUACAGCUCAAUGAUUGGCACAUUUUAAUGUGAUAUGAAAGCAAAGCUUGAUGUACACUUGAGGGCACGCACAUACUUUAAUGUAUGUGACAUAAACACAAUUUGAGAAAAACCAUUAUGAAGUUGUACUAUUCCAUAAUGUUUGAUAAUUUUCUUAAUAAAUCCUAUUGUAAAAUUGAAAAAA
rnacentral:lncRNA from 1 species